AAUUGAAGAGUUUGAUCAUGGCUCAGAUUGAACGCUGGCGGCAGGCCUAACACAUGCAAGUCGAGCGGUAGCACAAGAGACAUGCUCUCCGGGUGACGAGCGGCGGACGGGUGAGUAAUAUCCGGGAAACUGCCUGAUGGCGGGGGAUAACUAGUGGAAACGAUAGCUAAUACCGCAUAACGUCGCAAGACCAAAGUGGGGGACCUUCGGGCCCCACACCAUCAGAUGUGCCCAGGUGGGAUUAGCUCGUAGGUGGGGUAACGGCCCACCUAGGCGACGAUCCCUAGCUGGUCUGAGAGGAUGGCCAGCCACACUGGAACUGAGACACGGUCCAGACUCCUACGGGAGGCAGCAGUGGGGAAUAUUGCACAAUGGGCGCAAGCCUGAUGCAGCCAUGCCGCGUGUGCGAAGAAGGCCUUCGGGUUGUAAAGCACUUUCAGCGAAGAGGAAGGGUAAUGUGCUAAUAAGACAUUGCAUUGACGUUACUCGCAGAAGAAGCACCGGCUAACUCCGUGCCAGCAGCCGCGGUAAUACGGAGGGUGCAAGCGUUAAUCGGAAUUACUGGGCGUAAAGCGCACGCAGGCGGUUUGUUAAGUCAGAUGUGAAAUCCCCACGCUCAACGUGGGAACGGCAUUUGAGACUGGCAAGCUAGAGUCUUGUAGAGGAGGGUAGAAUUCCAGGUGUAGCGGUGAAAUGCGUAGAGAUCUGGAGGAAUACCGGCGGCGAAGGCGGCCCCCUGGACAAAGACUGACGCUCAGGUGCGAAAGCGUGGGGAGCAAACAAGAUUAGAUACCCUGGUAGUCCACGCUGUAAACGAUGUCGAUCUGGAGGCUGUGCCCUUGAGGGGUGGCUUCCGUAGCUAACGCGUUAAAUCGACCGCCUGGGGAGUACGGCCGCAAGGUUAAAACUCAAAUGAAUUGACGGGGGCCCGCAC
rnacentral:rRNA from 1 species